ACUUAAAUUGAAGAGUUUGAUCAUGGCUCAGAUUGAACGCUGGCGGCAGGCCUAACACAUGCAAGUCGAGCGGUAGCACAGAGAGCUUGCUCUCGGGUGACGAGCGGCGGACGGGUGAGUAAUGUCUGGGAAACUGCCUGAUGGAGGGGGAUAACUACUGGAAACGGUAGCUAAUACCGCAUAAUGUCGCAAGACCAAAGUGGGGGACCUUCGGGCCUCAUGCCAUCAGAUGUGCCCAGAUGGGAUUAGCUAGUAGGUGGGGUAACGGCUCACCUAGGCGACGAUCCCUAGCUGGUCUGAGAGGAUGACCAGCCACACUGGAACUGAGACACGGUCCAGACUCCUACGGGAGGCAGCAGUGGGGAAUAUUGCACAAUGGGCGCAAGCCUGAUGCAGCCAUGCCGCGUGUGUGAAGAAGGCCUUCGGGUUGUAAAGCACUUUCAGCGGGGAGGAAGGCGGUGAGGUUAAUAACCUCAUCGAUUGACGUUACCCGCAGAAGAAGCACCGGCUAACUCCGUGCCAGCAGCCGCGGUAAUACGGAGGGUGCAAGCGUUAAUCGGAAUUACUGGGCGUAAAGCGCACGCAGGCGGUCUGUCAAGUCGGAUGUGAAAUCCCCGGGCUCAACCUGGGAACUGCAUUCGAAACUGGCAGGCUAGAGUCUUGUAGAGGGGGGUAGAAUUCCAGGUGUAGCGGUGAAAUGCGUAGAGAUCUGGAGGAAUACCGGUGGCGAAGGCGGCCCCCUGGACAAAGACUGACGCUCAGGUGCGAAAGCGUGGGGAGCAAACAGGAUUAGAUACCCUGGUAGUCCACGCCGUAAACGAUGUCGAUUUGGAGGUUGUGCCCUUGAGGCGUGGCUUCCGGAGCUAACGCGUUAAAUCGACCGCCUGGGGAGUACGGCCGCAAGGUUAAAACUCAAAUGAAUUGACGGGGGCCCGCACAAGCGGUGGAGCAUGUGGUUUAAUUCGAUGCAACGCGAAGAACCUUACCUGGUCUUGACAUCCACAGAACUUUGGUGCCUUCGGGAACUGUGAGACAGGUGCUGCAUGGCUGUCGUCAGCUCGUGUUGUGAAAUGUUGGGUUAAGUCCCGCAACGAGCGCAACCCUUAUCCUUUGUUGCCAGCGGUUAGGCCGGGAACUCAAAGGAGACUGCCAGUGAUAAACUGGAGGAAGGUGGGGAUGACGUCAAGUCAUCAUGGCCCUUACGACCAGGGCUACACACGUGCUACAAUGGCAUAUACAAAGAGAAGCGACCUCGCGAGAGCAAGCGGACCUCAUAAAGUAUGUCGUAGUCCGGAUUGGAGUCUGCAACUCGACUCCAUGAAGUCGGAAUCGCUAGUAAUCGUAGAUCAGAAUGCUACGGUGAAUACGUUCCCGGGCCUUGUACACACCGCCCGUCACACCAUGGGAGUGGGUUGCAAAAGAAGUAGGUAGCUUAACCUUCGGGAGGGCGCUUACCACUUUGUGAUUCAUGACUGGGGUGAAGUCGUAACAAGGUAACCGUAGGGGAACCUGCGGUUGGAUCACCUCCUUACCUUAAAGAA
rnacentral:rRNA from 1 species